AGAUUAUAUAUUUUUAUGUCAUUAUAUUAAAGUUUUUUGUUAUACUGAAAUACUGAUAAAUUGAAAUCUAUAUCGUUUCUAUUCUGAUGAGGUUACGGUUAAAGAUAAAAAAAAUUCUACAAAUUAAAAAACGAACACGCGCCAUUUUAAUCAGUGCCGCUAUUGGAGCACGUGGCCAAUUGCUAGAUAGACGUCAAACAUAACGACACCUAUCCUAACGUUUCUCGCUCUUGCGCGUGUCAGAUACCCUUAUCUUGCUACUCUUCUUUCUCUCUGUCUUUCUCUAUCUUUCACUUCGAUUUACGCAUUCAUUUUCGUCAUCAUAUUCCCCUUCUAUCUUUUGCGCGCCAUUUUUUGUCUCAAAUUCCUAAUGUUUAUUUUAAUGUAAUUUUCUUGAUUUUUACGGAUACGAUAGUGAAGUUUUCAAUAUAAAAUGAUCCCUCGACAUGGAAUGACAUUUUUGCAAAGCAUCAGGAACACCCUCGUUACCAGCAAUUACUGUAAUAUAAUAAACAUAAGAGGACCUCAUAAAAAAUUAACUAAGCCAUUGUCAAAUAUGUAAUAGAGAAACGCUGUUACAAUUGUUACAGCUUGAAUCGAGUGGUUGUUUGACAUAAAUGAUGACAAGAUUUUCAAGAUACAUGACUACGUGAUUUUUCAAGUCCUUCACAGCAAUACCUUGAUCCAAUUCCGUUCUUAAGGCGCUGAGUUGUUGACGAACAUCAAUAAAAAGCCAUAUUAAGCUAGCAGUAGCUAACACAGAAGCGCACGCCAAAAAGGCACUACAAGCUUUAAGAAAUCCCGGACAAGCUUGGCUCCUUCUUCCUCUGCAUUUGCGACUACUUCUUGUCGAUGUGUUCCAAUAUUCUGAACGUUCGUCACUGCUAUCCGUCAAUAACUCCUGCAAAAUAAAUUAUCGUCAAAUAGUCAUUGUUAAAAAAGACAACAAUUGAUAUAAAAAUAAUUCUAUAUAAAAACUUUGCUUUAAGAUAAACUCAUACCUGAGAACUACGUUUGCCGGAAGUUCUUCUCGAAACAGCAUGUGGAGGUGCAAGAGCAUCUAAUUCCUUACGUUUCUUCAUUUUCUUCGUUGGUUGACGAAGCGGAACCGUAACCGCUACCGAGUCCAUCUCAAGUAAAACCUCCUCCUUCGUCUCCUUGAUUUACAUAUACUUAUUAUUCUUAUGCCGAGGUAUAUUUCGAGGUGGUUGUAAUUUAAUACGUUAUAUUAUAAUCAUUGACUUUUAGUGUUUAACGCUAAACGUUCAUGGUGUCUGGUUCAUUGCGUCUAAAAAAUGUCUGAUGUUUAUUUCAUCGCGAUACUUCUUCAUGUUUAAUAAUGAAGUUUCGUGAUGAUAGUUCGAAUAAUCCAAGGAAAGACAUGUUUGUUCGUUCGAAGAUCUUACCUAUUAUUUUAUUUAAUUUAACAUACGUAUGCAUAUCAGUUUCUUUUGUUUCAUACAUAAACGUCUAUAAUUUAUCUACACGUAUUUUUUUUUUUUCUUUUGUAAGCAUAUAACAAUGAGCACUAUUAUAGUUGCACGAAUUUGAAAAAAAUUAUGCAAGAAAAAUUAUAACGAAUAAAACAUGAAAUUGUAAGAGCCAAUUUAUCGAAAUUUAAAGAAAUUAUCAAACCUUAUUGUUAGCUUCAUUUAUACUCGAGAAAAGAUAUCACUUUAAAUUAUUGAACAUGUCUUCUUCGUAUUCCCGUAUAUUGCGUUACAUAUUAAUGUUAUCGAUAGAAAUUAACAUAAGUCUAUGAAUAUACUUUCUCACAUUAAUUUCUGCACAUAUAUGAAGAAUAUAAACGUGAAAACGAGAAAUGAGACACUAUUGCGAUGCGAGCUGAAAUAAUAAUGACUCACACCCAAUAUAAAGUACGAUAGUAGUGUAAUUCGAGUUGUUUAUAAAUUUUUUAAUAAGUAGAAUAUGUUUAUUACGAGGAACAAUAACGGGAAAACGAAAAAGAAGAAAUAAAAAUAUAUUAUAUUUCUUCAAUGGAGUUAGUAAAAUUAGAACUUUUCUGUCGUCAAUGCAUUUGUUAUCGCUCUUUAAAGCGAAAUAACACUUAAAACGAGAUGCAAAUGGUCUCGACGAAGUUAACCAAGAGGCUAUAAUCAACGGACGAGUGAUACGGAGCGAUUAAAAGACGAUGCAUUUACAACCGAACAUUGUCGCGAUACUACUGAGAAGCUCUUAUCAUCAAAUUGGUGGCUAACAAUAACAGCAGGUAAGCGCGCCUUGUAGGAGAACGCGCGAGCGCGUAUCUUGAGGACACGUAUAGAUGCUCUGCUAUUAUACACGAUUUCUCUAUAUGUGUGUUUGUUUGUGUGUACGUUUUGUACAGGGUGAGUCAAUAAUUACUGUCAAACUUGAAAUAACUCUUUUGUUCAGUGGCUUAAAAAUUUUUAAACGAAAAAUUAUAUAGACACGCUUAUUGACUUUUUUAUUGGCUAGCUGAAGAAAUUAUAGGUCACUUUUCUUUUGUUUUUAUUUAUUUAUUCCUUUGUUCUUUUUCUUUUUUUUUUUUUAAUCAUCAAUAAAAAUUUAUUUCAGACGGUAAUAAAUGCUGACUCAUUCUGUAUAUAUUAUGUACUUGUGUGUGUGUGUGUGUAAAACUUGUUAUACAUACACAUAUAUAGGAAAAUCAAGUACGUCUCGCCGAAGUACGUUCUGCCGUUUUUAAAUCAAAUACACGUGACUAUGUUACAACCUACUGUGUGUGAUGUCUGAUGUGUGUGUGUGUGUACUUGAGUUUGGUUGGUUAUGUGCGUGCGUGCGUGCGUGCGCGAGUGAACUUGCUCGAAGUUUUCGUCGAGACAGUUUACUGCUUGCUUUCGUCUCUAUCGCGAAACCAGGCCAGAUUGUUUUCCGUCUGUGACGAAUGAUAACGAAUAUCAAGUAAUCAAAGACCGUAAGAGAAUGAGGUGACGAUUUAGUAAGCGAAAUAAUAUUAUUGUUUAUUUUUUUUCUUUCUGUUUUUUUUUUGUUUUCGUUGUCAAGAAACAUAUUUAAAUUACUGUUUCAAUGUUUAAUUUUAAUUGGAUACUUUGUUGCGAGAAUAGAAACUAUCGUCGGAUUAUAAGGGACAAUCCACGUUGGUGUGUGUGUGUGUGUGUGUGUAUAUAUGUAUGUAUGUAUAUAUUUCUUUUAAAUACAUAUGUACAUCGUUAUCUCGUUCAGAUAAUAACGUUAUCGUAAAUUUCUACCUUCAAUGUGUUCUCUGUCUUUUUGUUUUUUUUUUAAAUUACAUAUCAAUAUAUCUCAAUUGUAUGUGGUCCAUAAUUUAUUUUAUUCGAGCAAGGCACUUAUAAAAUACGUUUUUAUUCAAAGCUUAACGAAAUGUUUUCAUAAAACAUUAACGAAACGUUAAAACUUUACGAUUUGUUUUUUCUUAAUCAUUCAAUAAAUCAAUGACCAAUUUGACAUAAUGUAUCAUUUUAUUUCAUUAAUCAGUCGUUCGUUUCGUUUCGUUUCGUUUCGUUUUGCUGUUUUAAAUACGUCGGCAAUUGUUAUGACUUACGAAUUUGACAUAAGUUGGUUUUGCGCUUUCACGACCGAAGAAUGUUUGUCAUAUUAAGCGUUUUUUUUAUCGAGGAAGUUGUCUUCAAAGUGUACGUUAAACCAAUGACUGGCGCCGUUAUCUAUCGCGAAACACUUUCGACACACGGACACACGUUCUUCUUCGAUUAAAAAAACCCAUUCGACCUUAACAUCAUUUGAAUCGACGGUGAUAUCGUCGUGACAUAAACGGUAACCGUUUCGAGUUAUUUUUCAAGUCGCGUCGAAACUUCAACCACGUUGGAAAUGAAUUAUAAAAGUCUUAUUCUCAUCGAUUCGAACUUGUAUAUUCUGUGCAAAAGUUGGGGAAAAACGAAAACAAUACGUAUAAUAGUCCAUAAAGCCCGUAAACGUUAUAAUUCUCUUUCUUUCUUCUCCCUUUCUCCUUGUCUUUUUCUCUCUUUUUUUUUUAUGCUAUCCUUAUUUCUCCCACUACCGCCUACCCUCUUAACGUUGUGAAAUCAUUCGAAAUUGACACAAUGAGAUCGAUUGGUCGUGUAAUAAUUUGUGAUUAAGUCUUUCAAAAAUCUAGAUUCAAUAUCCUUCGUCCCGACGGAUCGUUUAUAAAAUUAAGAAAUUAAAUUUCAUGUUGAACGGACACGAUUAUAUGUAGUACAUAUCUCUCUCGUAAUGAUCGAUCGUAAACUGUUACACGUUUUGCGAAUAUUUCACACGAUAAAAAUUAUCUUUUUUUAUUCCAUGACAGUUGGUCAGUCUUGACUUAUUAUUUAAGCACAAACGUAUAAAUAAGCACGUAUAUAGUCGAUUUGGAAAAUAAAUUUAGGCCGCGUUAUAAUUUAAAAGGAGAAAAUAAACGUCGUUGUGCCAAAUGGACGAACGAUUUCCGUAGAGGCCACACUAUCGACACACACAUACACACAUACACGCGCGCGCAUACGCAAGUACGAGACUCGCCCGCCACUCGUCGUCGCUGAUAUCGACUGACGAAAGAAGGGGUUGCCGUACGUGAGGAACAACUCUACUCCUACCGCUAGGGGUUGCUUCGUACGAUAAAAACUGUAUUCGUACUACUGACACACCGAAACUUUUAAUAUCGAAUAACUAAUAAUAACGGUGCUAAUAUUAUAUAAAAUUAAUAUUAAUAUUAAUAUUAAAGUACAUACACAUAUUAUAAAAACAAUAAUAGAAAUAUAUUUAAACAUUUAUGGAUUUUUUAUAUAAUUCAUAAAAAUCAUUCAUUACUCAAAUCGUUACAAUUAGUUCCAGAAUAUUUUAUUCGAUUAUUAAUAAUUCAUAUUUACAUAUUAAUUUCUAUUGAACAUGCUAUAAAUAUGUAUAUUUGAAUCCAAAGUAUUAAUGGAUUAAAACGUUGUUCGGAUAUAUUUUAACGUUACUUACCCAAUUUUAUAGAUGUGUCCAUUCUUUCGAUUUCUCCAUAGAAAAUUGCAGCUACCCAGGAUAAAGCUAUCAACCAAAAUAUUAUCAAUAGGGCUACUACCCAUAAUGAUAUGACUCUUAUGUCUGAUUUAUUGCAACCGCAUAUGUCACUGUCUUUAAUUUUAACAGUACUUCCUUGCCUAUAUCUUCUAUAACACAAAUGAUAUCAUAAUAAUAAAUGAUAACAAUUGGCUAAAGCAGUAAUUUAAAUAAAUAUUUUUAUUAACAACAGUUGUAUCAUAUCGAAUAUUAUUAUUGAUAUUUAUUCUUACCGUUUAACUUUCUUUUUUCUUGGUGUCAGGACUAAAUCUGGUAUAUCUGAUUCUGUUUCUGAUAAAAGAUCGAGAAGAUUCACAGUUUCCUUGUUUCCUUGCAUAGUUUUUUCCUUGUUAUUUAAAAUCUUCAUUAUUGAAUUUUAUAUUAAAUUAAUAGAAUGCAUCUUUACACAAUGGCAUUAUUCUGAUGAUAUAUUUUAAAAUUAAUUUUAACAAUGUUAGGAAUUAUUGUUAUAUCGCUUAUAUCAAUAUAUAGCUACCUUUAUUGGAUGUCCUUUGGAAGCAAUUAAUAUAUUUAUAUCUACUAUUAGUAAAAUGUAAAUGGAAUUAAAUUAAGACAAGAUUUAUAUACUUUGGCACAUAACCUACUUUGACACAUCUUUCUGUGUUAGUCAUUCAUAAUUUGUAUAUACAUUACCAUCUAUUGCUGAAAAGAAACAUUAAAUUAUUUUAAACUCUGACGAACACGCCAACAUCGGUAAAGUAGAGGCAACAUCAUACAGGAAAUGACGACUAGCGAAAGAACAGCACUCGAGCGCUUCUACUGGACAAUGUUCUAAUCUAUUUUCCUAAUCCUUUCUUCCUGCUUAAACUAAUAUCUGUUUUGUCUUAUGAUAUCUGUAUUUCUUUGUUAUAUUUUUCUUAUCCAUGUAUAUAUCUAUAUAGAUAUAUAUCUUUAUUAUAUCAUCGUUACAAAUGAACUAUUAAAACAAUUAGUUUUAUAUAAAAUUCCAUAAUUCCAUUCAUAUGCCAUCUAGCGGACGUUUCAUGGCAGGAAACAAAUAAAAUGAUAUUAAUUUAUAUUUUAUUAAACUAAAUGUUUGUAUUUACAUUCAAAAUUAUAUAAUUACUAUGAUAUUUCAUGUUACAGAUUCGUAAAAAGUUCUUGCAGAAUAGAAUAUUAUUAAAGCAUUUUAACAAAUUUAUUCGUUCAGCUUCCCUGUUUAAUUUUAUUGAUAAGACAUUGAGAAGAUAUUCUUAUUCCUGAAGAUCUCCUGUAUGAUUUCAUUAAUGAAACAAAUAAAAAGGGCUAUCUAAUGAAAACAGCAUUGAAUCUGACAGUGUUUACAGGUUUUGUGAGUGCAAUUUUCUUGGAUGAUUGCUAAAGCACAAUAAAAAUGAAUUCAAGCUUGCUUCAAUUUUUGUGCACAUAUAUAUACAUAUAUUCUUCUUUCAUU